AGUGGUUUCGCCACUUGCUGCGCAAGCGCAAGGACUCGAGUUCGAUCCCCGCGCUGAAAACACCGAAUCAGCGGAAGGACGCUCCCCCACCGCCAUCCCAAGCUCCUAGGGCAGAGAAGGCUCAUUUGAGAGAAGUGGUGAAAAAUAAUAUUUUCACAGUCAGAUGAGCCUGUGUUGGAAAUAUGAUCACUGGUGGUGAGAUGUAGCCAGCAGUUGCACUGGAAGGUAAAGUCUAUUGACCAUUUACUGCCCUGCAGUUUUAUGGGAAGGUACAUCAGAAGAUGUGACUGGAAAACACAACAUUACUAAGGAAAGGACUCAAAACCUUGCAUAGAAGAACUCAGAGGAUCCUGGCUUUCUUCUUUCUCAACUACAUUGUAGCUAAAAAACACCCUGCACAACUGGAACAGCCAGCUAACCCUCCAGAGGGCUCUUUGGAUCAUGACAUCCAUCAUGUCUGUCUGUUGCCAUACUGCAAUGAAACAUGGAGCAUGCUAUUAUUCCCUUUUUACAGAGGGGGAGAUCAAGCCAUACUUGACUACAGAAUGUAGACUAGAUGUCCCCCAAAAGCCCCAUGUGGUCAUAGAUGGGACUUUUUGAAGGGGGCUGGAACUGGAGUCUGUAUGCUGGAAUCAAGGAUGUGAUGCUGGCAUCGAUUCAUGCUGCAAUGAUAGGAUUAAGGCUUCCUGCCCUGGUUGUGAAUGCUACGGGGGCCUAAAGGUAGGUAGCCUGGAGGGACAGAAAGAAGAUCCCUGCUUAUUGCUUGUUGCUUGUUGCCUUCUGCCUGCCAUGAACUGUUUCUCCUCUGCAAUGCCCCUCUGCCAUGUCACCCUGCCCUAGAGCCAGCCAACUAUGAAUUAAAACCUCUAAAAACUGUGAG
ensembl:lncRNA